rnacentral:rRNA from 1 species
UGGGGAAUAUUGGGCAAUGGGGGAAACCCUGACCCAGCAACGCCGCGUGAGGGAAGAAGGCCUUCGGGUCGUAAACCUCUGUCCCAUGGGACGAAACAAAUGACGGUACCAUGGGAGGAAGCCCCGGCUAACUACGUGCCAGCAGCCGCGGUAAUACGUAGGGGGCGAGCGUUGUCCGGAAUGAUUGGGCGUAAAGGGCGCGUAGGCGGCUCUGCAAGUCUGGAGUGAAAGUCCUGCUUUCAAGGUGGGAAUUGCUUUGGAAACUGCGGAGCUUGAGUGUGGGAGAGGAAAGCGGAAUUCCCGGUGUAGCGGUGAAAUGCGUAGAGAUCGGGAGGAACACCAGUGGCGAAGGCGGCUUUCUGGACCAUAACUGACGCUGAGGCGCGAAAGCGUGGGGAGCAAACA